GAAAGAAGGAAAAGAAGAAGAAGAGGAAGAAAACCCAGCCCGGCUCCCUUUUUUUCCCCAUUUCAACUUUUUUGCCCCUGCAGAACUGUGCCGUGCUGCCAAGCUGUCGUGUGUGUGGACGCGCUUCUCUUCUCUUCUCUUCAGCUUCCCGGCCGACCCCCCACCCUCUUUUUUCCUGCUCCUUUUUUUUGGCCUCCUUUUGUGCUUGCCCCCCCCCCUCCUAUUUAUUUGAUUUCUUGACAGAUCAGCCUUUCUCAAGCGUGGCCCCCCAGUCUGACGAGCGCAGAACUUCACGGGACUUACUUCUCCACUCGAAUACGAAGAGGAUGGGUGGAGACGUGGAGCCGAGGAGCAGGGCAGGUGGAACAGCGCUGCCUUCAACGGGAGCAACUUCACACACCACACCUGUGUUGCUUUGAUCCAAGCAUGGAUGCAGCAUUCUCCAUAGUGCCUUAGCACAACAAUUUUGCACACUACACACACAAGGACUACACAAAGAAUGCAACCUCCCCCCCCCCCCCCCCCCACACACACACACACACCUGUCUUUGAUGUCAAACCUACAGCUGAUAGCUUACUAUUAUGGUGCUAUGAGUGUCUCAUGUGAGUUAACUGCCAGGAUCCUCGUAUGUAUUGGAGUAUAGAUGCUUGUGCAUGGAUGGAUGGGUUGCUGUUUCACAGAGAGGGAAGGCUGCAACACACACACACACACACCUCUGGGGCCCCCGGGGAACAUUCAACGCUGUCGGUGAGUUUGGAGCUCUGAGAGAAACCAUCGACCGUUGACUGUACCCCGCAGGCUGCUCUUACCGCCAACUGAGACCAACACGGACCACACGGGCAGGUGAUAUAUUCACAGGCUAGUCCAUGGAGGCACACCGAUAAGGCACACAGUGACACACACACACAGAUUUCUUUCCUCAGCCCCUGGAGCGCUCGUCCAACCUGGACUCCCUCUCCUCACAUCGUAAUGGCUGCGAUAAACAUUCAUUGCUGUCGGUGGGUUUGCCAUGAGAAUAACUCACUGAUCAAUGAAUGCAAACUGCGGUACAAACACCUCAAGGAGCUAAACGGCCACCUCAGGAUGGGUGACAGACUGACCAAUCCUCACCUCCUCCCUCUCCACCGCCCACCCCCGCCAGACGGGCGCGGGGCGGACAGACGGGAGAUCUGGUUGGCGGGCAUCUGCCGCCCAGACUAGCCGAGCACACAGUGUUCUCGUGGGCAGGAGCAGCGGAGGGGAACCAUAUCAGCAAAUGGCAGCCCAGACCCAGAGUGGUCCACGAGAGCAGAGCGGAGGAUCCCGUUUGGGUGACAUACUGUUGCACCGAGCCAACAUAGUCUCUCUCUCUCUCUCACUUCCUGUUUCUCUCUCUCUAUAUGACUAUCGUCUAGGCAACACACUACUACCAACUUGAAUUUCAGCACAAUCCCUUCUUUCUCCCUCUCUGUCUGUCUUUCCCUCCCCCCCUCCCUCUCUCUCGCUCUCUGUUCACACAAACAAAAAAAAGGAGCUGAAAGUUAAACUUGCUGACAUGCCAUUAAUGUCUGUGACAAGAAAUAAAGUGGAAUUUAACCAUUUUCAGUUGAGUGUUCGACGAGUUGCCACUGUAAAAAAAAAAAAAAAGAAAAAAAAGUUUAGAAAAGAUUCAGACUGCUCCACUCCAUGGGACAAAUCUGUGUGCUAGUUAGUUUUCCGUGUUUUUAAAUUGAGUUAAACGCACGGGGCCAUGUGGAGCUAAUCUGCGGGUAAUUGCUGCCUCUAAAUUGCAACCACGCUGGGAAUUUUAACACAUCAAAAUGUUCCAGUCAGCUCCGACCGCAUGCGUGCACAUUUGCUCCAGCUCUCGCUGCCUCCUUGUUCUUCCCCUUUUCUUUCCAGCCCCAAAUGGAAAGCGGUGGACGCUCUUUCUUUCUGACCAUAAAACUCACACAGAUGCACACACACACACACACACACACACACACACACCCAGUUUGUUUCAUGUCUGGCUUUUGUGUGACUUACCGGAAAAGGUCAGCGAUGUUUGUUUAAUUUGGCCCAUAAAAAUUACCCUAUUUUAACCUGCUGGAAGGAGCUUCUAAUGCAAUAGUCUCGUCUGUACAUUCUGACAGUCAGUCAUUCUUUUCCAAAUGACCCAAUCUGUGUCUCUCUCACUGAGCAGUUCAAAUCAGGGACAUGCGGCACACCGAGCACGGUCUUCACAGCGGACUACUCUUCAUUCACACGUCGACAACUUGCACAUGCAAGAUAUGACUUUUCUUAGAUCAUUAAAAUAUCCAAUUUCUAAACAAAAGAUCAACAGAAAAAAAAAUUUGUGACUGUUUUGGUCUGUUUUUUUUUAUUUGUAUUUCAUCAAGUGUUAGUGCAUAGCUGUAAACAAACUAGAUCACCAGCCAGAAUGCACUGCGAGUCUGAACCUAAAAAGUUCAACAGCAACACCAAGCCUAGCAGUUCAGGUCAUAAUAUAUUUCUUCACAUGAGAUGAAUGUGGAUAAUAAGGUAAAUGAGUAAAAGGCAGUAACUCCUGAAAAGUGCUUAAAAAAUGGCUAAGAAGAGUUAAAUCCUUAUCUUUAUCUUUUUUGCAGCCAUUCUAACUUUCCCCAUAGCCCUCCCAUUCUGUCUGUUAUCUCUGAAGAAUUGCACUGAUUUGCAUUAAAGUAAAAAAAAAAAAAAGUCCUGUUUGAAGUAUACUGUAUGUUGGCUGAUCUAGUUUUUGGGCAUGCGUUUUAAUGUAGCCUAUGGCUGGCAGUCUCUAAGGGACGGAACAGAGGAGUGAGAUGAGAGAAAGAUAAAACAACAGUGCUACCUCUGUCUUGGUCAAUCUGUCAGUCAGCCUGGACCCUCCCACAGAUUACAUCUGAGGACUUUCUGGCUUCACCAGAGCCCACUGUGUCCCUCCACAGAAAGGCACGUCGGGACAGCGACUAAAGAUAGCACUCAUGCUUAAUUGUCCAAAUUGGGAUCUGCAUUGAAAGUCUAACUAAGGGGAAAAAGGAAGGUUUAUGUUUUUGAUUCGUCUGGGUUGUGGAUGGGAAAGUUCAGGUCAUCUGGAAAGGCAGGGCAGAAAAGAAAGAAAUGGCAAGGAGCCUUACUCUCCUGUUAACGUGCGUCUGUGACAUAAAUUACUCAGCACACCGCAUACACACAAUGGAGGGCUUGUUGGCCCAGUUGACAUCACUGCACAGUCUUCAGAGCCAGGACCUAACUCAGGUGGUCGAGCGGAAUUCAAACAGGACCAGACACAAGAGCAACAAUAUCAGGGUGCAGGUCCAAAAUUCCCUCGGCCAUUUAAAAAAGAAAAAAUAUUGCAUUCCAACUAGCAGUAGCAAAAAGUGGCUUUUGUUUCUUUCCACACAUGACACCAACAUUAAUAUUCUGGGAGCUGAUUUUGGUUCCCUCUCAGUCUCAUCAAGGCCCAUCAGUAGCUGUCUAGCCGUAAAUGUAAUCAGCAAAUUGCCCAAAAAAAGGGGGGGGGGGGGGGG